UAAAGACCAUAACGGUAAAAGCAACCAGUGGCAUGAAUGGCCUGCCAUAGCCAAGUCCAACUUAAAGUCAAUCUUAGUCUUUGUGAAACACUCCCCAGGAUUAGAAUACUAUAGAAAACAAUGGAAUUAUUACAGAUUACAUGCAUGUAACUCAUCUAUAUCUUUGACAAUAAAGAAUAAACACUUAUUUUAGACACAUGCUGAAAUGCUAGAAAUACAUUUUUUUAUAUUUUUCAUACAUUUUUCAAUAUAUAAAGUCUUGACAAGUAUUUACUUGUUGUGAAUUUCAACUGUAGAACUUAAUUAUGAUAGAGCAGACAUUUGAGGAAUAUGGAAGUGAACCUGAUUGCUUUCAUACUUGCCAGUUUCCUUCAGAAUUGUGUUAUCCUGUUUGAAAACAAGAAUUCAAAAGGGAUUUUGAGAAAAUGAAAUUGAAAUGAUUAUACAAAUAUGAGUAGUUCAUGUACAUGUAUCUCAUGCAGUAAGACUGCUGUUAGUUUCUUUUGAACUUAUUCCAAGAAGGAUUAAGCCUAGAUUAGAAUGCACAAUUUCCAACUAUUGAUUGCUAAUGGUCUUGAGAAGCAAGCCCUCAUUGAUGAUGAGGUCAUUCAUGUUUUAUGACGAGAAAAAAAAUACUCAGAAGACUGUUUUUCAGAAUAUAGUUUUAAUGGAAUCUUCGUAUUUGUAGUAGGGCUUUUGUUAAGAAAAAAUGUAACCAGAGUACUUGAGCAUAUCAGAUAUUAUUUGUCCUUGUCAUAAAACUUUAUUAAAAGAAUAUUGUAUUUUUAGUACACAAUGAAUAAAGAAUGGAUCCAUGUACAACAUCAUGACAGACUGCAUUUACAAUAGAAGGAUCUCUAUAUCAUGAUUAAUGAUAUCAAAUUUCUAAAACUCAAAGCUCUUUUCUUAUUCUUUGUUUAAUUUAUUUCCAAGUGUGACAUUGACCUGUUUCUCUUCUUCUUGACCAACCAAUUUCACAUGAACGUUUGAUUCUGUUUCUCUUCUUCUUGACCAACCAAUUUCACAUGAAGGGUUUGAUUCUGUUUCUCUUCUUCUUGACCAACCAAUUUCACAUGAAGGUUUGAUUGUGUUUCUCUUCUUCUUGUUCAACCAAUUUCACAUGAACGUUUGAUUCUGUUUCUCUUCUUCUUGACCAACCAAUUUCACAUGAAGGUUUGAUUCUGUUUCUCUUCUUCUUGACCAACCAAUUUCACAUGAAGGUUUGAUUCUGUUUCUCUUCUUCUUGACCAACCAAUUUCACAUGAAGGUUUGAUUCUGUUUCUCUUCUUCUUGACCAACCAAUUUCACAUGAAGGUUUGAUUCUGUUUCUCUUCUUCUUGACCAACCAAUUUCACAUGAAGGUUUGAUUCUGUUUCUCUUCUUCUUGACCAACCAAUUUCACAUGAAGGUUUGAUUCUCCUGCAGAGUACAAACUAUUUUGGGCAGCAAAUUUAAUUAAUGUGGAAAUUGGAAGAUUCAUCUUAUAAAGAGCUUUGGAAAAAAUUGAAAAGAUCUAGGGGUUCAUCACACUAUGAAUCACUAAAACUAUUUGGGAUUAUAAAUUGUUGUCGCUAUUAAGAACGAAAAUAAGGGCAUUACUCAAUCAAUACAUUUCAUAUAGCAUCACAGUUAUGGUAUUCCAAUUAGGAGGAAAAAGAACAAGAAAGCUUCCAUUUUAUUUGUUAUCCUCUUUACCAGAACUAAACUUUCUUUUUUAAAACAAGAUCAUAAUUAACAGAGUUCAUCUGUGACAAUGAAGGUGUGCAAAAACAUGUAUCAUAGACAAAUCUAAAGGAUUUUUUUUUCUUUCUGCACUUUAUUGGGUCAAAAGACCCCUCUAUUUGUUUGGAUAGUACCCUAAAUGUUUCGUCUCUUUUAAGAUGCCAAUGUGUAUCAUGAUGGUGGAGGUGGGGCAUACAUUUUUGUUACAUAGUAACAUACAUGUCAAGUUUAAUAUAGAGAUGUUUCAUUUUCAUGAAGUGUGAUUGUAUUAUUAACUAUUAUUUGGUGAACCAUAUGGUGAUUUUUAUUGAUUAUAUUUCCAACUGAAAUUAAUAAAGAGGAAGAUGAAACCAGUUUGCCCCAUGUUGACAUACAUAUCUUGCCAGGCUGCAAACAAGAUGACAGAAACAUGCCAUUCCAUAUUUGUAUAUGUUUAUAUGUACAUGUAACUGUAACAUGAGCUGGAGUAAUAUUGGAUUGACUCAGAUACGUCCAAUGGUGGAUAUGAGUGCUAUGCAAGUAUCCUAUUGUAUUAUUAAUAGUAGAAGAGUUUUUAUGUUUUCUUGUUUUAACAAUCCAGGAGAAAUAAGACAGCACAGUAGGCUUUGAGAAAUAAUAUCUAGUUUAUGUAUACUUUUAAAUGAGGGCAAGUCCAUAGGCAUAAGACCUGCAUAUACAUCACAUUUUAUUACUUCAAUAACAUAAUUCACAUCUGAUGUUUAUUGUCAUUAUAUUGUUGUGUGCCAAUGGACUCAUUAAAUCUUUAAUCAUGAAUCAAAAAUUAGGUAAUCAGAAAUAAGGUACAAUUUGUGUACUAUUUUUAAGUUUGAAUUAGGAAAGCAUCACACACACUACAGUGGAAAUAGGUGGCUGACCAAAAAACAGCUGAACAAAAAGAGGCUUCAUCCAUAGACAACCACUGCCAAUCUGAAAAUCUAAACUGAUAUUUUCUUCUGUGACUGGCCGCCACUUGGUUGAACACUGGUUGUUUAUCAGUUGUAUAGAAGUUGUCAUUUUAAAAGAGAAAAAUGAGUGGUUUACAAAGGUCA
rnacentral:lncRNA from 1 species